rnacentral:rRNA from 1 species
AGCGAACGCUGGCGGCAGGCUUAACACAUGCAAGUCGAGCGGGCGUAGCAAUACGUCAGCGGCAGACGGGUGAGUAACGCGUGGGAACGUACCUUUUGUUUCGGAACAACACAGGGAAACUCGUGCUAAUACCCGCUAAGCCCUUACGGGGAAAGAUUUAUCGUCGAAAGAUCGGCCCGCGUCUGAUUAGCUAGUUGGUAGGGUAAUGGCCUACCAAGGCGGCGAUCAGUAGCUGGUCUGAGAGGAUGAUCAGCCACAUUGGGACUGAGACACGGCCCAAACUCCUACGGGAGGCAGCAGUGGGGAAUAUUGGACAAUGGGGGCAACCCUGAUCCAGCCAUGCCGCGUGAGUGAUGAAGGCCCUAGGGUUGUAAAGCUCUGCUGUGCGGGAAGAUAAUGACGGUACCGCAAGAAUAAGCCCCGGCUAACUUCGUGCCAGCCGCCGCAGUAA